GAAGCGUAGCUCAGUGGUUAAGCCGUUGGACUAGUGCUCGGAAAGUCCCGAGUUCAAAUCCCCCCUCUGUCA